AUAGUUACCUUAUCACAUCAUUGAACUCUUUUUUUAGCAAAUACUAAUUUUUAAUUAGCUGGUUAUUUAUGGUUAAUUUUUGAUACAUUGUGCAGGAAGGGAGAUUUUGUUUGCAGUAAUCAAGCCCAAUCAAUGUGUUCCUCUAAUUUAAAUAUCGAGUGCUAUAGUUUUAUCCGUGUACAAGAGUAGCUGGGUACGUCCUUGACACACACGAGUCUAGAAGUUUGGGUUAACAUUCGAGGUUGAUACAUGUGGUGGUUAAAAAAAAUCUCUUAAUAUUAUGUUCAGAAUGAUCCUCUUUUCGAAGCAAAAACUACUUGUGGGUCUCUUUUGUAUGAACUUCAGAUGAUAUGGGAUAAAAUGGGCAAGCCAAAA